rnacentral:rRNA from 1 species
ACGCUCGACACCUACGGGGGGCAGCAGUAGGGAAUCUUCCACAAUGGACGCAAGUCUGAUGGAGCAACGCCGCGUGAGUGAAGAAGGUCUUCGGAUCGUAAAACUCUGUUGUUAGAGAAGAACACGAGUGAGAGUAACUGUUCAUUCGAUGACGGUAUCUAACCAGCAAGUCACAGCUAACUACGUGCCAGCACGCCGACGUAUCNGAGGCGGCGUGGACGAAGGC